GACGAACGCUGGCGGCGUGCUUAACACAUGCAAGUCGAACGGAAAGGCCCUGCUUUUGUGGGGUGCUCGAGUGGCGAACGGGUGAGUAACACGUGAGUAACCUGCCCUUGACUUUGGGAUAACUUCAGGAAACUGGGGCUAAUACCGGAUAGGAGCUCCUGCUGCAUGGUGGGGGAUGGAAAGUUUCGGCGGUUGGGGAUGGACUCGCGGCUUAUCAGCUUGUUGGUGGGGUAGUGGCUUACCAAGGCUUUGACGGGUAGCCGGCCUGAGAGGGUGACCGGCCACAUUGGGACUGAGAUACGGCCCAGACUCCUACGGGAGGCAGCAGUGGGGAAUAUUGCACAAUGGGCGGAAGCCUGAUGCAGCAACGCCGCGUGCGGGAUGACGGCCUUCGGGUUGUAAACCGCUUUCGCCUGUGACGAAGCGUGAGUGACGGUAAUGGGUAAAGAAGCACCGGCUAACUACGUG
rnacentral:rRNA from 1 species